rnacentral:rRNA from 1 species
CGCGGUCCCCCACACUGGCACUGAGAUACGGGCCAGACUCCUACUGGAGGCAGCAGUCGGGGAUAUUGCACAAUCGGCGAAAGCCGGAUGCAGCGACGCCGCGUGGGCGAUGAAGGCUUUCGACGUCGUACAUGCCCUUUUAUGGCGGACAGAGACAAGGACGGUACCCCUAUAAUAACUCCCGGCUAUCUACGUGCCAGCAGUCGCGGUAUAACGUAGGGUGACAAGCGUUAUCCGGAUAUCCUGGGCGUCAAGAGCGUUGAGACGCUUCCGUAACUUGGGCGUGAAAGCCCCGGGGCUCAACCCGGGGACAUCGCUCAAUACUGCCGGAGCUCGAGGACACCAGAGCGAGGUGGAAUUCCCGGAGAUACCGGUGAAAUGCGUAGAUAUCCGGAGGAACAUCAGUGGCGAACGCGGACUCCUGGGCUGUUCCUGACGCUGAAUGCGAAAGCUAUGGGAGCGAACGGGAUUAGAAACCCCGGUAGUCCUAGCUGUAAACGAUGGACACCGGGUCUGGGAGGUAUAGACUCCUUCCGUGCCGAAGCUAACGCGUUAAGCAUCCCGCCUGGGGACUACGUCCGCAAGGCUAAAACUCAAGCGAAUUGACGGGGGCCCGCACAAGUAGCGGAGCGUGUGGUUUAAUUCGAUGAUACACGAAGAACCUUACCUGGGUUUGACAUGCAUGUAGUAGUGAAGCGAAAGCGGAACGACCCUUCGGGGAGCAUGCACAGGUGCUGCAUGGCCGUCGUCAGCUCGUGCCGUGAGGUGUCGGGUUAAGUCCCGUAACGAGCGCAACCCUUGCCCUUAGUUACAUGUGUCUAAGGGGACUGCCCGGGACAACUGGGAGGAAGGUGGGGAUGACGUCAAGUCAGCAUGGCCUUUAUAUCGAGGGCUACACACACGCUACAAUGCCCGGUACAAUGGGUCGAUAAACCGCGAGGCGGAGCCAAUCCCCCAAAGCCGGUCUCAGUUCGGAUUGCAGGCUGCA